rnacentral:lncRNA from 1 species
GUUUUUCCAGAAAAAUAGUGUUUGUUGGUUUAGAUAUUGUUUCGUCCUUCUUUCAUCGAUUGCUUGCUAAAUUUCUCAUACUACCUUGUUCAAUAAUCUACUUGCCUUACAGUCCUUUUCAAGCUAGCAUGUAAUUUCUGAAUUGCCUUGCAUUAUUGAGAAAUAUAUUGAAAUCUAAGCGGAUUUGGUUGUUCAACCAUCAGUCGAUCGCUUUUAGUUUCACAGGCCCUGACUAGUUCUCAUUCUGAGUCACAUUGUUUGUUCCAAAACUUUUUAAGUGGACUUUUUCUUCUGGGCAGAUUGUUAUCUUAAAAUUAUCAGCUCUUGAAUUUUAAUCCUGAUCACAACAGUAGUGGGAGAUUUAUCAUAUUUGUUGCAUCGAUCUCUUGCAGUUCGCUUAUUCCGUUGGUUCCUGCACAAUGAGCAAACCAAGACUUGUUUUCGGGAUAACGAUGUUGAUAUAAUAUAUGGAACUGUUGUAAUUGCUUUCUUAUGAAGUUUGGACUGAUAGUUUUGGGGCUACGUGUAAUAUUUGAAUUGUAUGCACAGUGAUUUGAAUACUAUUGAUUUUGUGUCUGCAGUUGAUAUCGCUCAAGUAACUUGAUGAACUGUUGAGUACCCAUAUUAUUGCUGAAAUGAUCAAGAGCGAUAUUACUGUUGAAUUUUGUCUCUCCUAGCAGAACAUUCAAGAUUUUGAGACUUUUCGGGAUUCAGUGAGAAAGUUAGUUGAAAUGCAAUUAUCGAGAGUGAUACUGAUGUUGAUUUGUUCGAAUGAGAUUAAAAUUACGGACUAAUGACUUUUAUCCUGAUGAAAAUUGUUUAGCACUUUCCUUAUUCAUUUGAUUCUUGCAUAAUGAGGAAAUUGGGCAAAAUAACUGGAACUGCUUUCUCUUUGAAUCUUCCAUAAAAUUAGUUAUUAUUCUUAUGAAGAUUUUGGACUGAGAUUUUUAUGAUUACUUGUAAUUUUUAACAGAUAUUUAAAUUGUAUGCAGAGGGAUUUGAAUUCAGUUGACUUUUGUCUCUGUGAUUGAAACCUCGAGUAACUUGACGAACAGACUGUACCCACACUAUUGAUUAGGUAAAUGAAUCUUCAAUUAACAUUUUACUUUCAGUUGAAAACUUGAAAUUUGUUGUUUAUAUUUGUUCUUAAGUUGUUUUGGUGUUAUCUUUGUACAUGCAGAAUUGGGAUUUCAACCAAAACUCAUGCGUGGAUCAAUAUCAUUCUUCAACUUCAAUCAUGUUUCCUUAUCAUCAAAUCUUAAUUUGGAUAGAAAUUGGUAAUCUUUUAUCUUGUCGAUUACAACUGGAUCAAUAUUCUUUGUUUGAUACUCAUCAUCAAAUCGAAAUGCAUCCUUAUGAGUUUGCACAAGAUUUGAAUUCAGUUUAUUUUUCGUGUUGUGUGGAUCUUUAGAAGCUUGCGCUUCCUGGCAUCUUUUGUGCCCUGCAUUGCUGUGAAAGGAGACUGCAAGAAGCAGCCAGCUAUUGAAUAGAGGGAGAGCUUGAGAUUUGAAACAACUAUUGUACUACCCUAAUUGUAACUUCUUUCUCUCUUCACUUGCUCUCUUAAAGACUCUCUCAUGCUCCUUUUAAAAUGUAACCUACAUUAUUCUAGUAAAAACCGCAGAAACUACUAAGCAUGGACGUAGGCCAGCUUGCACAUAUGGAAGGAUCGUAUAGUGCUAUGAACUUAUACUGUCCUUAAUGAAAGAUAGAAAUUCUGGAUGCUUUAUUGGGAUCAGUCUGUAAUAUCAGCUCCAGUGUAUAAGGUGUGCUUUUCUCCUUCUCUUUUACAUUGAACAAUCUAAGCACAUACGUAUUUUUUUCAUUUUUCAGGUUUUCUCCAUUCCAUAUUCACCAUGAACGUUUUACUCAUUAUGCCAUGAUGAUAACAAUGUCGUAAGAUCAUUUGUGUUGCAAAACAAGGUUUGCUCUGUUACUUGUAAGAUAGUAAAUUAGUUUACAUGGAAUGCCCAUACGAUGUCGGUGUAGGUCCAUACUGGGUACUUUGGGUCUCUUCCAUGAUGGUGUUUACUCACUCACCACUGUCUCAACUCCUUAGUAUUUUACAGAGAGUUCUUGGGGCUGUGAAGGUAACAAUGUCUUCAGGUAACAAUGUCUUCGGUAGAAUAUUGAUAUUCCGGUUGAAGCACAAGUUAGCUCUUCUCAAGCAGACUAAGUUUUCAUCGGUGAAUUAUUACAAGGGCUUUCUUCUGCGUUGAUCGUUUCUCUCUUGAGAUUCAAAGUUUGUUUGAGCUGAGGUCAUUGUUUCUCGCUCUUUCAUUUUCAUUUUUUAUUAAUAUUUUUGCAACAAUUACUUUAAGAGGUCGCACUUGGUGCGAUGGCAAGUGCCUUCGCCCAUGAGCGGUAGGUCUCGGGUUCGAGACUUGGGAGCAGCCUCUCCAUAAAAUGGGGGUAAGGCUAGCCGACAUUCACCUCUCCCAGACCCUGCGUAAAGUGGGAGCCUUGUGCACUGGGUACGACCUUUUUAUUAAUAUUUUUGCAACAAUAUUUCUCCAUAAUAGCAAUGCUGGAAUAGAUAUUAUAUUGUUGUUUGAUUAAAAAAAAAAGAUGGUUUAUCUUCUUAUGACAUCUAAUACUCGUAAAUUGCAGUUUUGAUGGGGCAUGGAAGGAACAGGAAGAUAGAGGGGGAAUUGGAGUGGUGUUAAGAAACGACAUAGGUUAGUUUGUGGCAGCGCUGGCGAUGAAACUGGACGGCAUCUCUUCACCGUUGUUGGCAGAAAUAGAGGCAGCACGUGCUGCAAUCUUGCUGGUGUGAGAGUUAAACAAGGAACUGGUGGAACUUGAAGGAGAUGCAGCGUUGGUCCUUGCUGUGCUAAAUCUAAGAUGACAUUGUCGUUGAUGGAUAGUAUAGUAAAUGAGGAGCGCUACUUCCUGCGCUCCACUCCACAAACCAAACUCAAGCAUGCUCGCAGGGAGACAAACAAGGUUGCUCACAGAUUGGCGCAAUUGGGACUCACUCUAGAACAGCGAUGAGUUUGGUUCGAGGAAUCUCUUGAUGUAAUCACUGGCCUUAUAAUAGAGGAUAGUUAAGUUUUAUAUUUUUGUGGUGCGGGACGCUCUUUUUCCCUUCGACUGGGUUGAAAUUCCCGGCAAGGUUUUUAUCAAGGCCCAAUAAAAUGCAUUAUAUCCUACUAUCUGUACGUAUUCUUUCUCAUAUCAAUGAAUAUUGUACCUCUUCUAAAAAAAAUACUCGUAAAUUGUCCAUGCAUGUUUUAGCCGCAGAUAGAAAAGUGUGGCCCUUAAAUUGUUAAAAGGCCACAAAAGAAAGGAAUUUUUCAAAAAACGUUUAGCUUCCUUCUACGCUUGGCCUUGCAAAAAACAUUCCUCCGAAAAGUCAAUUUAUCACAAAAUGUUUUAAGUGCACAACUUAGCUGAAAUUGAGAAAGGCAAAGUAAAAAGGCUCUUUUAAAAUUAAUUCUUUAACAAAACUUAGGAAUAAUUGGCAUGAAAAUAUAGGAAAUAAUUCACCUACCAAUGUUUAUAAUAAAAGUAGACAAAGACGAAUAUGAGGACGAAUAAGUUUCUUUACUUAAAACAAUAAUUCCUCGAUUUUCUUCCUUCAAGUUAUAUGCAUUUAUUUUGUUUCAUUCUCUAUCAUCAUAACUUUAAAUAUAGUGAGUUGUCUAUUUCAAUCUGUCAUAGAGGGAGACCAAAUAAGAUAAAUAAAUAUGUGUAGUAUAGUACAAGAUAAUUGGAUAACAUUGUGUGACGGUGUGAAAAUAUCUGACGUUAGAAGAUUGAGGCAGAAAUAAGAGUUGAAUUUUGUUUUGCAAGAAAAAAGAUAAAAGCUAUAAAGAAAGGAAGCAUGAUCACAUUUUGGCUUCAUAAACACUGUUUUAACAAUUUUUGACAAAAAUUGUUGUCCCUGACCAAUCGAUAUUCAGAUAUAUUAAGGCCUCGUUUGACAGCUCGGAUUGUACUGACUAUUUCUAUCGGAUAGGAUAAAUAGCCACCGGAUAGUACUGACUAAAUUAGUCGGGCGUUUGGUGCAGUAUCGGACUAAUGAUCGUAUUAUUUAUAUUGUGUUUGGUACUAUACCAGAUAUGAGGAAUUUAAAGUAUUAUUAUUUUAAGAUAAACUGUAGAGAUCAGUUUUAACCAUAAAGUAUUAUCAUGUCUCCCUGGGUGGUCCAUUCUUAGCGGCCACAGCAGAUGCUUUCUCUGAUUCUAUGUCAACAACAAUAGCAUCAAUUUUAGCUUCUUCAAGUUGCUUCAGACCAUGAUCCUUGUCAUCACAGCAACUUCUAUGUGUUUUCCUCCACUCUCGACAACCUCAAGCAAAGCCCGGAUUGCAAGCUUUACAGUUUCUUGCCCAGAUCUCUCUGCCGCAUCCCCCAAACUCCCUCUCUCUCUCUCCUUUCUUCUUCUUCCCCGACUAUUUGCAAGAUCCAGUUGUAGAAGAAGCCCAAAGCCUUCAACGCCCGACGGCCAGACCUCGGGGAUCUUGUAGCAGAGGAAGACAUGGAGGUCGUAGGCGUUGACAGUGCCGGCAAGAAUGACGACGGGGAGAACGACGUUGGCGAGAGGGAUGACAGCGAGAGGAGAUGUCGUGGAAACGAAGUGCGAGAGAGAGGGAAGUGAGCCGGACUAAUAAUCCACUCAUUUUGGAAGGGUUUAUUAAGCAGGUGUAUACCCGACUAAAUAGGCAGACUGACUAAAUUAAUCCGGCGGCUAUUUUAUACGGGAGGGCACCAAACAACCGGCUCCGUAUAAUUAGUCCUAUCCGAUGCUCUAUACGGUGUGCCAAACAAGGCCUAAGUGUGAUUUCAAAUGAUUAUAUACCCCAGAUGGCCAACACCUAAACCUUCAUCCAAGAUAUGUCUUAUGCAUUCAAACAUUAAAUGGUGUGCCACGUGGGGCCACCCUCUGAGUUUGUCCCCGGCCCACUCUUCUCCCUUUCUCUUUCUUCUUUCUUCUCCCGUGAGACCUCUCCCUUGUCUCUCACUCUCGAACAAACCUCUCUCCCUCUUCCUCUCGCUGCACCCAACCCUCCCCGAGGGUAGCUAACACAUCCACACAGGGGCGGAUCUACAGAGGGACCUGGGAGGUCCCAGGACCCUUCGACGAUCCUAAAUUGCUGCUUGAAAUUUUCCGGGGACCCCUCGUACUCGAACACGAGGUCUGCGCUGCAGGUUGCAGGUUGCAGGUGCAAUGGAGAAGAAGACAGCGGGGAAGAAGAAAGAAAACAAGGCCUUUUUAAAAUUGGUCCAAAACGCUGCCGUUUGUUUUAACAAUUGGCCAAUUGUUUUAAUUUUUCAAAAAAAAAAAAAUCAAAAGGGGCAAACGCUGCCGUUUGCCUAUUAUGUUCCAAUUUCCAUAUUCUUUUAAAGCCUAGCCCCACAUGGGCCACAUCUUUCCCGAGAGUUCCCUUUCCUUUCCCCGCUCCUCUGCUUUUCCCCUAAUCCCCAACUUUUUUAUAUUCCCCUAAAACCCUAAAUUUCUAAUCCCACCCAAUCCCAUAUUAUAAUUAUAUUACUCCAAUAUCAUACCUUCACUUGUUUCAAUUCUCCAAGCCAUCACUAUUUGGUUCAAAAUUCAAAUAAGUUUUUUGGUAUUCUAAUCUAAUCUCAAUUAAAUUAUAUUAGAUAUUGGUGGAGAUUUUUAGUCUAUUAUUGAUAUGAUUGUUCAUAUGUUUUAUGUUUGUAUACUCAUUUUAUCAUUGAAAUUUGGAUGGAAUUCUUGCUCAGAUGUAUCCUAAAGAUUUGACGGAUCGAGAUAGAUUGGGAAUUCAAGAUUAACUUGAUAUUUAUAUUCAUUUUGUGCGUUCUGAUAAUGAUUUUUCUCAAUUGCAGGGGAUUAAUGAUCUUACUAAGAAAAUGGUGGAGAAAGGGUUGCAUCGAACAUUUGCAUAUGUAUAUUUGCUUGUUCAGUUGGUUUUGGUUUUACCAAGUGUAACCGCUUCAGUGGAAAUGGCAUUUUCCGCUAUGAAUAUCAUUAAGGAUCCACUUUGCAACAAAAUGGGAGAUCAAUGUUUAUGUGACAUCUUAAUUGUUUACAUUGAGAAAGAUGUUUUUUCAUGUAUUGGUAAUGAAGUUAUCAUGAAACAUUUUCAGACUAUGAAACCUCGUCUUGGACGCUUGAAUUUAGGAUUUUAUAACUUGUAAUGUUGUUGCAUAUAAUUUUUGAAUGAAGUGUAUUAUAUUUAACUUUUCAAUGUUAUUUUUGUCUAUAAAUUUUUUGACCUUUAUUAUUAGGACCCCCUGAAUUUAAAAUCCUGGAUCCGCCACUGCAUCCACACACCCAUGCAACCACCGACAUGGCGACAACGACGGCAGCACCAACAUCACCACCACAUUAGCUCUCUCUCUCUCUCUCUCUCUCUCUCUCUCUUCGUCUCUGUUGAGCACAGAGGAACUCCGGCGAGUUCGUCGUCUUUCCGACGAUUGGUAAGCCUCGGGACCCUUGAAAUCCCUUCAUCUUUGUCCUUGUGGUCUAUAACUAACUUGGAUUGUGUUUUUGGGAUGACGAAAUUGCACGGAGACGCCACGGGUGUGCUAAACCCAGUUUUCCGGUGAGCCGUGGGUGUGCGACCCAAGUCCGGCCACGUCCGGCCCAGUAUUUUACAGAUUCUUGGGGCUGUGAAGGUAAUACUGUUGAAUAUUUCAAGAAUAUAUAUAUAUAUAUACCAUUUAUUAUAUAUAUAUAUAUAUGUAUAUAAUAUUUCAUGAAUAUAUAUGAAAUAUAUAUAUAUAUAUAUAUAUAUAUAUAUAUAUAUAUAUAUAAUAAAUGGUAUAUAUAUAUAUAUUCUUGAAAUAUUCAACAAAUACUGUCUCCAUUGAGCCACUUUCUUAUGCCAUUAUAAAGGAUUAACAUUUUUAUCAUUGAGAAUUAAUCGUGUUUUUAAUCAAUUGUGCAUUUCAGAUAUGAAGGAAGUAGUCUAUGUUAUUUUAAGCAGAAAAUUCAAGCUGCAAACAAGUUACUUACUCCUACAAACACAUGUGCAUUCUCUACCCCAACUUUCUAGGAUAAAAAAUUACGUCUUUCAUUUUUCCGCAGUUGUGUUGUGGCCGAGGACAUCGGCAUAGACCUUGCAGCAGACAAAGUUGAUGGAAUGAAGUGUAUCGUAACCAAAAGCGGGUAACUUACUUUCCUAUAUGAACAAAAGAGUGCUUCCAUAUAUGCCACCUUCUUGAUAUCUCAGAUCAGUGGCGGAGGCAGUUAAGGACUACAGUAGUCCUAGGCCUACUCUCACUUAAAAAAUAAGAUUAGUCUACUACACCUAUUUCUAUUGCUUUGCAGCCCUUCUCAACAACUAAAACAAAUUCAAUCAUUAUCUAUUUUUCAUCUCAUAGAUGCCAUCCCAAAAAUAAGUAUAUAUUUUAAAUGGUCAUUUAUCACAAAAAGUAGUGCUAUCUGCAUACAUUUUUUACCUUUAACACACUCUUGUUAAUUUAUGUCAUUCGAUAUUCAAUUCAUUCAAUCAGACGAUCGCAAAUUGAGAGGGUAUAUGGAAAGCAAAAAGAGGUGUGUGGAUAGCACAACCCUCUCACAAAUCAAUAACAUUAAAUUAAAACCCAUCAUUCACUUUUAAUUAAAAUAAAAUCGUCUUUCACUUAUUCACGGCGAGAGUUUUUACCUUUUCUUAUUGAAUUUCAUAUAUUUAGCCAUUCUAAAUCCCAAAUUUAUUGAAUAAAGAACAAAAAGGUUUGUAAUACUCUAUUAUUCACUAUAAAACAUUUGUUUCUAUUCUAUCCCACCUCUUACUUGAGUUUUAGGGUUUGCAAAGAUUUUCGUACUUCUCUCUAUUCAGUUUAAUAAUUAUUUAAAUACAAUAGAUGACAUUAUGCAACUGUUUCAUUGCAAUUUGUCAAGAAUAAUUUUGAUUACUAUGGAUAGAUAAAAUUAUCUAUGCAUAUGUUAAUUUUGACUACUUAAUUAUUUGGAUAAAUAUUAUGAUGUUUUGCAUUAGUAAUUUUAUAACCACUAUUCGUUUUUUAUUCUUCUAUACUUGUUUGAGGCCCCUCCUCACAAGAAAUCUUGGCUCCGCCACUGUCUCAGAUUAUACUUCAAAUUUGUUAAAAAGCUAAUUGGCAUGAGUUGGGUGUAAUCUUUGCUAGUCACAUAUGUCAAAUUUUUUUAUCGGGGUCAAAUGAUAAACAUGUUCACUUCAUCUCUUAAAACUCCGGUUUCAGGUACACAGCUGAAGAAGACUUCCAUAAUGCAGAUUUAGUCUUUGACUUCAUUGGAGAUCCCCCGGAGGAGCGAAAUUUCAUUCAGUGCUGGUCCUCCAUCUACAAUACCCUUGGAUGGUGAUUAGGGUUUCAGCUAAAGAUAAUAGACGAAUGAUAGUCUGCGUUCGGUGGUAAUCCUGAUGUAGAUAUUCCUGUUGAAGUAGUAUUUCGGUUGUAUACAAGUUUAGAAGAAUUAUGGUGUUAAGAAUGUACAUGUUUUAUAUGGGACGGAUCUGUAAAUAUUGCCAGCAUUGGAGACUUUAACAUCGUCAAAUGGGGUUGGAUUUAGCCUUUUGAUGUUUGAUAAAAAAGACCUCAAUAUGAAUGGCCAUAAAUUUGAAUAUGAGUUCUCUUAUUUGACUUCACCUGUAGUAUUCUGUGUCCGAGUGUAAAGAUAGUGAAGCUUUGUGGUGGUCUCAGAUCUGUAACCUAUGUCAAGAAGCAGGAAUGCAUGCAGUCUGGAAGAACCGGUAUGUCAUAUUCCCAAGGGACUUCCGAAUUAUUGCGGUGAUGAUGUAAGAUAUCGAGCCAUGGAAUGGUUUUAUUUUAUUUUAUUUUUUAUUUUUUUAUUUUAUUUUUGAGAAGGGGUUUUAUUUUCUUUUUGUCUUUCGGAUAAUGUGGGUUGUUUUAGUUGGAGAAUUGUUUAGGGAAAACUGUAACAAAGUACACUGAAAUUGACGUUCCAUUCUUACUGUUUGUAGAGAUGCCACAGUUUGCAGCGGUUUCGCUAUUCAUAUUUUCGGCACAGAUGUUGUGGUAUUAUCCCUGCCCAAUUAAGCAUUGCGAUGUGUUUAUUACUAGUCCGCAUGGUAGUGCUCGAUUUACUUAGGAUAUCGACGUAAUGACACAUCUUAGUUACAGGGAAUUUCUCUCAACUUAAUGACAGUGGGGAUGUGUUAGCAAGACAUUUUUAGUCUUCAAGCCUUAAGCCAAAGUAUUGCAGUAUGGUUUUAAAUUUACUUUCUAUUAUUAGAGAGCAAACAUACAUGGAAUGGAAUGGGGUUCUCGCACACGUGGUGGUAUCUCAUUCAAUAAUGUAGUGGUGUGUAAGUUUCUUUUGUUGGAUAUAUAAGAUAUUAUCUACAUUAAGAGGAUUUCCACCUGUUGAGCAAGGGCAGCCCAAUGACAGUUAUCAUUUAUUUUGAAUUAGUAAUUGUCUUUGUCAACUCCACCUGUUUUAGUUCUACCAUCACCAACGCGAUUACUCUUCACAAAUAUUUUUUUUUCUUUAAAUUCACAUCUGCCAAUUUAUCAAGCGAGGAUGUAGAAACUGCUGAAAGAAAAGACUUAUCCAACACAAUCGAGUCACUGAAGGAGGUGGAGCCACCUCUAAAGUAAGUUUAUCCUGUGACUUUUUAUUACAGGAAUCUACCCCUCUAUUAUUGAUUUGAACAAGAAAAAAAGUGUUGUGCGAUCCAACUGUCCUAACAGAGAAAGAAAGGAUGAGAACUUAAGUUUAAAAAAUGGGGUAUAGAUAGAAAAAGUACUACUAGGGAUUAAAUUUAGAAUUAUUGAUUGAUAUUGACUAUAUAUGCAUGACUACGUACUGUUGUUUUCUUAUGAAAGCACAAUUCCUUGUUCAUGAUUAUUUAAUAAAAAAUUAAAAAAAUGAAGCGUCGACAACGAAAAGAUAAGGGCACUACUUACUAAAAUACAUCAAGAAAAAAAGUUAAAGAAAAAAGCAAUUUAGUAAAAGGUAAGAUUUGAAAAGAACAAAUGAACCAGACACGUAUAGAUUCCAGCACUCGAAGUGUUAAAAGUACUUUUGAGCACUCAAAGCAUCGGAAGGAGAUAAUUACUUUAUAAAAAGUAAUUUUAUCUGAUAGGAAUGUACCCCUCAAUUAUUGAAUGCAGCACCAUGUUUUUUAUGUUGAAUUUUAUGAAAAUUAAUGGAAAGUUUUAAAAAAAAAAUUCUUUUAAUGAAAAAUUCUUUUUAAAGGUAUAGUGAAUAGUGACAGUUAAAAGUAAAAUUAUAAUUUUGUUAAAAAUGAACCGUACCAUGAAUGUUUAGUUAAAACUCCCUAAAUUUUAUGCAAAACAUAAUCAAUGAAUGUUUAGUUAAAACUCCCUAAAUUUGAUGCAAAACAUAAUCGGUGUACAAAGAGGAGCCACGUCUAAAGUAAAUCUAUCCUCUCAAUUAUUUGUUUCUGAUAGGAAUAACAUCUCAUUCAAUUAUUAUGUAUAUCAAUUAUUUGGACGAUGCACCAUCUUUUUCACGUUAUAAAAAGUUAAACCUAGCGGCAUCAUCGUAUCAUUUUCCAUUGCUCUUGAAUUGUAACUGUAAUUUGCAUCGAAGAGAGAAGUUAAACACGCUGAGCUGAGUUGAGUAGGGAAUUGAAGGAAUGGCAGCUGAAGCUGUGGUUACUUUUGCUGCGGAGGAAAUACUGAAGAAGGUGCUUUCACUUGCUGAGAAAGAACUCCGUCUAGCAUGGGGUUUCAAAGCUGAACUCCGAAACCUUCAAGAGUCAUUCGGUAACAUUAAACUUUUAUUGAAUGAUGUUGCCGACAAACCACAAGGUAGUAUAUAUUUUUGAAUCUGUCUUAUAAUCUCGCGCACACAUGCUACAAUGACUAGGUAUUUUAACUUGUUUUCAUUCUCUAACAGCUCCUGCAAUAGAGGAAUGGGUGAAGAAACUCAAAGGCGUAGCCGAGGAUGCUGAGGAUGUCUUGGAUGAAUUCAAGUACGAAGUUGAUCGGCGUAAAGUCGAAAUCCAAAACCAUAUGAAGAGAAAGAUUCUGAAUUUCUUUUCACUCUCCAAUCCACUUGCAUUUCGUCUUCAAAUGGCGCGUAAAAUUCAGAAGAUCAAUGCAUCCUUGGUGGAUCUCAAGACUGAAGCAUCUCCUCUUGGACUAGUUUCCACCAGGAAUACAGAUGCAACCCGUCAGAGAAUUACAUGGGACAGAAAGCGACUCACUCAUUGGCAAAGAUGAAAUAAUUGUUGGAAGGGAAGAUGAUGUGUCGAAUAUAGUUAAAACCUUGACCGGCUCCAAAUACGACCAAGAGAAUCUUGCGGUUAUGGCCAUUGUGGGAAUGGGAGGCCUCGGAAAAACAACUUUGGCCAAGUCGGUUUUCAAUGAGGAUUUGAUACAAAAUUCUUUUGAAGUUAGAAUAUGGAUUUGUGUAUCGAACCCUUUCGACGUCAAUUUAAUUCUGCUCCAUAUGUUAGAACAUCUCAAUCCCCCACCAGUCCUUUCGAAAGAUAAUAAGAAUGUUCUUCUUGUGUCCCUUAAAGAAAGGUUGGAAAAAAAAAAAUUCUUACUUGUACUUGAUGAUGUUUGGAACGAAGAUCAAGAAACAUGGGAUAGUUUAAUGGAAUGUUUGUCAAAGCUUAAUUUUGCUGGGGGAUCCAAAAUUAUUGUCACUACUCGCAAUGACAAAGUAGCAUUAAUCUCAGAAAAGCUACUUCCACGACAUGAAUUGGGAGAAUUUUCUACGGAUGAAUGUUGGUCCAUCAUGAAAGCUAAAGCUUGGCCCAUUAGCAGUGCUCCUGAGUUCGAGAAAAUUGGAAAAGAGAUUGCUAAAAAUUGUGGUGGUGUUCCAUUGGCGGCAAAGGUACGUACUAUUAUUAUAUAUCAUAACAUGCAAUUAGCACCAUUUUAUUUUUACUUUUUCACAAGCUUUAUUUGUAAAUUAGGACAAUACCUUCAUUUACCCAUGAGGUUCACCACCUUAUAAAUUAGGACAAGGCCUUAUGACAAACGUAUUUUGACCAUACAAGUUUCUUAACCAAAACCAUUCACUUUCAUAAUCAUUAGUAAAAAAAUUCAUUUCAAAUUACAUAAAUUAACUAUAUGAAAAUAAUAAGUUUAGGAUUUGAACACAGCCCGUUAGAAUGAGAUUUUUGUCUAGAAAUUAAGGUUUAGUUUAUUAUAAAUAGGAUGCUUGUUCUUCACUGAUGUAUAAGUCAGUCACAAUGUAGUCUUUAAGUACAGUCGUCUCGACAAUAUUUUUUUUUUUCUUUUUUCUGCUAAUCAAAAUAAUAUUCGCGGUUUGUAAUCUGUUUGUUCGUGUGUUUAUUAUGCACACUCUAUAUUCAAUUUGGUAUCAGAGCAGAUUUAAUCCUGGUUGGAUUUGAUCUGGUUUGGCUGGUAUCUAGCUCCCUACAGUCUAUCUGUGGUUUAUCAUAUCCUGAGCCCACUAGUUUAUUUUUUUAUUUUUUUUGAAACACUUCUGAGCCCACUAGUUUGAUUUGUUAAAUUGCUACCUCUCCCACCCCUUCCUCCGAUGAUUAGGAGAAGUAGCACGAAAUAUAAUUUUGAGUGUUGUUAACUCAUAUGGAUUUCCAUUUGUACCUAAACACGCCACUGACUUCUCAUUUGUGGCAAGGCUUUUGAGUCUGUCUUCUCCGUUUAUUCGUUUGUCUGGGUUUAGAUUGUUUGAAUUUGUCGUUGGAUAAAUUAUGUUCUUAUUCUUCAUUUUUCUCUCAUUAAUUGAAAUUUUUUUUCUUAUUUUUUUAUUAAGAUCCUUGACUUUUUUCUAUGUCAUAUUUGAAUAUUAAAUUAUUUACAAGUCAGCGUAUGCCUUUUAAAAGUGAAAAACUUAUUAAUUCCCAAUAUAUCUGUUUAGUAAUUUUUUCAUAUAUUUUUAUUUAUUAUUCGUAUUUUUUUUUUCAUUUGUACUAAUAUUCCUUUUAGUUUUAGUUUGUACACAUAAUUUUGACUUUUAACAUUUACCUAUUUUUUUUAUUUAAUUGGUAACCCUAUUUCUUGUGAAUGUACCCAUACUAAUUAUAAGGAAAACUAAUGAAAAUGACUUGAAAACUUUGAGUUUUAAUGAUAAGGACAAAAUAAAGGGUAAAGUGAAUAGUACCAGGAUUGACUUUUUAGUGUAAAAAUGUGGUUUUUCGUUAAAGUGAACAGUACCGGGUGCUUUUCGUUAAAGUUCCCCUAAUUAUAUCUAUCUAUUUCAUGUUUAAAAUACAUCAAUAGUUAUUUCUUAUAAUAUAUUAAUAAUUACGUUGGUACAUUAUUUUUUGGUACAGCUAUGUGAAGACCAACAUUACUCUAUUAUGAAUUUUUAAGUAAUUUUUAUAUUAUAAAAAUAUUAUUUGAAUUGGGUUAAAUUUUAUAAAACCAAAAUGACUCUUUAUCAAAACUACGUUAAUAAAAUCUUUUUUGUCAACUAAAUUGGACAAAACAACAAUUUUAUCUUCUGCUACAAAACAAAAUCGCAACUAAUAAAGUAAAUUCACACAAACUAAAUUUUACACAUUUUUUUUCAAAGCCUCACCUAAAAGUUAUCCUAACAUCCUCUAAUUUUAAAAAAUAAAAUAUAAAAAAGAAGACUUCUCUCUCUAAUCCACAUUCUUUUUUUCUUCCUUUUCAAAUAAAAAUAAAACGUUAUUUUCACACACAAAAUAUGGGGCAUUUAUAAUAAAAAAUUGUUAACAACGGGAGCCGCUGAAAUUUGUUGGAAUGCUGAAGCCAGAGCCGUGAGGCGCUGGAGCCGCGUUGCGCUUGCCUCCUGUUGUUGUUGUCUGAAAUCGACUCCCACCACCGCAUCGAACCACAAACCUGCUGCUGAUGCUGCCUGUUCAUCUCGCAGUCCGCCUGAACCACCGUCAAGCACAAAAUCGCACUCGCCUGACCAGAUCUGCUAAACCCAUCAACCCGUACCAUACCUGCGUCAGACCCACCGCUACACCCACCAGAAUCCGCAUCGUUGCUGAUUGCCUGACCAACCCCACACCUUAUUAGAAUGAAACCCAGAAAUCACUGCCAUGGCCGCCAUCUGCCUGAGCAUCACGCCUACACCACUGCUCAAUCGAACCCUGCUGCUUCACUGCUUGCGGCUUGACCGCCUUUGAACCUCUGUGUCCUGUCGAAGUCUGCUUGCUUCGCGCUAGCUACCGUGCCGUCGCCCCACCAUCUACUGCGGCAUGAGCCCACCUUCAGCCCCGAUCUAUCACCGUCUUGCCGACUGUCCUCAAACCCACAUCGCACUAUUGCCGCAAAACCCACUUUGUCUUCUGCCAGUAUUGCUGCUGCUAUUAUUUUUUUGGGUGUGUUUUAACGAAGAAACACUCAUGUUCACGUUUAUCAAAAACCAUAUUUUUUCUUUUUCUUCUAAUACUAUUCAUUACAUUUUUAUCUGUCAUUUUUAACGAAAAUUAAUUUUUUUUUUAACUUUUAGUUAGUUUUUCUUUAUUUAAAAAAAAACCAGUAUUGCUUCAAUUAAGAAAAGGCAAAAAAAUCGAGACAGAAAGUUGAAAAAGUAUUAAUAAGUUGCUUUCCGUUGGGCCACUUUCUUGGAUUGGGCCGAUAAAAUGUUCCCAGUAAUGAAGUUGCUGCUGUUUGAACCAUUUGUUGCUGAUGUCGGGUAGUGCCUGUAUGAAAUUUAUUGUGGUCUGCCACAACGAUUGCUCAAGUACUUGAAUUAGGGUCACUCAAGUGACGUUGUGUAUAUGAUCAUAAAUUAGAUCGUCUGCUUGUUUGUCUAUCCGCGUAGCAGACUUUGCUUGUUUGUCCGACUAACAGAUCUUGUAUUCACUUCUGUUUGUUGGCAAUCUCAUGUUGUUUAACACUAUGAGUUUGACGAGAGCGUUUGAAAAUAAUAAGUUAAGGAUUUGGGCUGUUAGAAUUAGGCUUUUGUUUAGAGAUUAGGUUUUAGUUUACUAUAAUUGGAUGCUUGUUAUUCACUUAUCUAUAAGUUGGUCACAAUAGAGACUCAACAUGUAACCAUCUUGGCAAUCCAGUUUCUUUGUUUUUCCGUUAAUCAAAUAAUAUUCGUAGGUUGUAAUCCGUAUGUUUGCCUAUUUGCUAUGUGCUCUCUAAUGUUAAACAUGGAUAUUUUAAUUGGUACCAACAUCAUCAAUUUGUUCAAUAAAUAUGGAUGACUAAACGAUCUUCAGUUUGAUUGAUUUUGAUAGCAAACAAACUGUUCCAAGCCCAUUGAAUUUUAGAUAUAUUAUUUGCAAAAUGAUUGAAUUGUGUUCAAAUUUGGAAACUUCAAAUUGCAUAGAUUAGUCUUCCAGAGGAGAAGCACGUAUAUGGAACAGAAUCACAACCACGUAGCUUUUCUUAUCGAACAAUCUAUUGCCAUGUGCAAGCACAUGGCGAUGUAUUAUUGAAUUGGGUCACUACUUGGCGGUGAACCUCUCCAGAAGAUACCAAUCUAGUUAUAAUCAUUAAAUUAGUUAAGUGGCUUAAGUCAGUUGCAUUAAGUUAAUCUAGUUACAAACUCUUCCUUUUUUUUUUCAUCUGAUAAAAAGAAUACGGUGGAGAACAUUGUUGCACUUCACAUAGAUCCAAAAAAUCAUUGUAGUCAUAAGUAAUCUAUUUAAUGAUAUUUGACAGGAAACUCACUAAUCCAAUCAACAGGUUUUGGGAGGCAUCUUGCAGACUAGAAAAAGUAUUGAAGAUUGGUCGUCAUUUAAAAACAAUAGAAUAUGGGCCAACCUAUCAAAAGAAGAUAAAAUUAUGUCAAUCUUGAAGUUGAGUUUUGACAACUUAGGAUCAUCAUCAUUGAAGCAAUGUUUUGCAUAUUGCUCAAUGUUUGAGAAAGAUUCAAAAAUUCAAAGAGAUAUCUUGGUUCAACUUUGGAUGGCUCAAGGACUACUCCACCAUUCGCCUGGUGAAAGUAAAGAUAUGAAGAUUAAAGGCAAUGACUCGACUGGUGAAAGUAAAAAUAUGGAGGACAUAGGCAAUGAAUAUUUUGAUAUUCUAUUGCAGAGCUCUUUAUUUCAAGAUGUUAUAAUGGAUCGUUAUGGCAUUGUUCAGGAAUGCAAGAUGCACGAUCUUGUGCAUGAUCUUGCAGAAAUUGUAUACAAAUCCGAAAGCUUGACGAGUGACUCAAGUGUCAUAGAUAAUACACUUGAGGUUCGACAUGUUGCUCGGGUUUCUACUUCUAAACUAGAAACAAUUCCAAAAAAAAGUGCUGGAAAAUUGCGGUCACUGUUUUUGGACGACGAUGAAGUUCCUACUAACAUUCAUCUACGGUUCAAAGCUUUACGCGUCUUCAAAUUUAGUAAUCCUAAUAUUAAAGAAUUUCCAGAUUCAAUUGGUAGGUUGAAACAUUUGAGGUAUCUUGACAUUUCCAAAACAAGAUUCGAAGCACUCCCUAAGUCUAUAGGCAAGCUCUAUAACCUUCAGACGUUAAGAGCAACGAAAUGUGCCCUUAAAGAGUUUCCAAAAGAACUGCUAAACUUGAUCAACCUAAGGCAUAUUCAUUUUGGUGUGAGUACGAAACUCCCACAAGGGAUAAGGCAGUUGACUUGUCUUCAAACAUUACCUUACUUUUUAGUGGGUAAUGAGAUUGGUCGUCAAAUCGAAGAGUUGGCUGGCUUGAAUCAAUUGAGAGGUAAAUUAAUCAUUCGUGAUCUGGAGCACGUAGAGAACAGAGAAGAAGCAGAGAAAGCUAAAUUAGAAGAAAAGACGAAAGUAUGCCAUUUGACAUUCAAAUGGAGUGGAGAUAGGUCAAUAAUUGACAACAAUGAGGACAACGAUGUAUUGGAAGGCUUACGACCGCAUCCUAAGUUACAGAGCUUAAGUAUUGUAAACUUCAUGGGCGAUAAGUUUCCAUCGUGGAUGGCUAACUUGAAAUAUGUUGGCGCUGAGUUCUGCAAUUCUCUUGAGAGAUUGGUUAUUGAAAAUUGUGGAAAGCUAAGGCAUUUGCCGGAUGGGUUACACGCAUUCCCUCUCCUUAAGUACAUGAAUAUAUCAGAAUGUUCUACUCUAGAGUUGAUUCCAAUUACACAGGGCCUUACGUACAUGCAUAUAUCAAAAUGUCCUAGUCUAAAGUCGAUUCCGAUUACACAGGACAUGGCAUCUCUACAAACAUUAAAGAUUGAAGAUUGUGAAAGACUGUCAGGCCUACCGAGUGGGUUAGACUACUGCACCUCUCUUCGCGAGUUGGUUAUUUCAAAAUGCCAUGGAUUAUCUGCCCCAUUGAGUAUAUGUGCCUCUCUCGUGGAAUUGAGUGUACAUGGGUGCGAUAAUCUGACAUCAAUUGAAAUUAAAGGCGGCGUGUCCCUCACGACCUCUAAUGUACUUGGAUCUUGUUGUUCUCUUGUGAGAUUAGUUAUUCGUAUGUGCAAAAAGCUGAGGCAUUUGCCAGAUGGGCUAGACACGCUCCCGCUCCUUGAGGAACUGACUAUUAAGGGAUGUGAUAGUCUAGAGUUGAUUCCAAUUGCACAGGGCAUGGCAUCUCUACGGGAAUUAGAGAUUGAAGAUUGUGGACGAUUGUCACACCUGCCGAGUGGGUUAAAGAACUGCACUUCUCUCGUGGAAGUGAGUUUAAGGAAUUGCAAUGGAUUAUCAGGCCCAUUGAGUAUAUGGGCCUCUCCCGUGGAAUUGUAUAUAUACAAAUGCAAUAAUCUGACAUCAAUUGAAAUGAAAGGCAGUGGAUCCCUCACCGCCUUUCUUCAGAUAUUAACGAUCAGGGAUUGCCGAGAAUUAUCAAGCAUACCUGCUCUUCCACAACAAUGUCCCUCUCUUGGGUACUUGGAGAUACGUGGAUGCCCAAAGCUAUCAUGGUUUGGUGUGAAAAGUAGGAGAGUUGAGAAGGAGGAGAAGUGCAUUAGUCUACAAUCUACUUCAGAUUUGCGCACCAUGACCUCCCUUCGACAACUGUUUAUUAUAAAUUGUGAAAGAUUAGAAAGUUGGGUGAGCAGCCUGCAAUUCCCACUCUCUCUUGAGACGCUGGCAAUAGUCGAUAUCCCUAAUUUACAGAUUCUUCCAAGUUUAGACAACCUCAAUUCUCUCCGUGAUUUGGAAAUCGGUGGGUUUUGGGAGGAGCUCGAUUCCUUCCCUGAUUUUCAAGUUGGAUCAUUAAUGCAUCUUACAAGGUUAUACUUGAGUGGUUGGCCUAAGCUCAAGUCUCUGCCUCAACAAAUUCAACACCUCACUUAUCUAACAUCUUUGUGGAUAAAGUCAUUUGAGGGAGUGGAGACUUUGCCAGAAUGGUUGGGUAGCCUUACAUCCCUUACGUGGCUGGAGAUUUCGAAUUGCAAGAAUCUGAAGAAUUUACCAAGUGUCCAAGCUAUGCAACGCCUCACCAAAUUACAAAAACUAUGGAUUUCUAGAUGUCAUCCCCUUUUAGAGGAAAGAUGCAGGAGGGACAGCGGCACAGAUUGGCCUAAGAUUUCUCACAUUCCAGAUAUCACAAGUAAGUUUUGAAAUUAUUGAAAUCAAAUAUCCUAAGAGUUGUAUAUAUUAUAUGUUAAUCUCUUUUGUUCUUUUAUUCCGUGUCUCCAGUAGUACUACACUCAAAUUUAAACUAGUAUAACAUAAUUUCUUUAUCCUUCUCCCUCUUCUUUUAAAUGAUCAGUACGAGGUCUGAGACAAUACUUGGAUUGAAACUACGCAACUGGAACGAUGUAGUGCAGUAGGUACAAGCAGAGUCCAGGUAAUGAUGUUUUUCCAGAAAUGUGGUGUUUGUUGUUUUAGAUUUUGUUUCAUGAUUUCAUCCUUUUUGCCAUUGCAUGCUAAUAACUUUUUAUCCUGAUCACAAUGGCAGUGGAAGAUUUAUCGCAUUUGUUGCUUCCAUCUCUUGCAGUUUGCUUAUUCCAUUGGUUCCAAACAUUUUACUAUCGGUUGAAAACUUGAAAUUUGUUGUUUAUAUUUGUUCUUAAGUUGUUUUGGUGUUAUCUUUGUACAUGCAGAAUUGGGAUUUCGAUCAAAACGCAUGCGUGGAUCAAUAUCAUCAAAUCUUAAUUUGGAUACAAAUUGGUAAUCUUUUAUCUUGUCGACUACAACUGGAUCAAUAUUCUUUGUUUGAUACUUGUCGCCAAAUUGAAAUUCAUCCUUACGAGUUUUCACAGAAAUUUGAAUUCAGUUGAUUUUUUGUGUUGUGUGAAUCUUUAGAAGCUUGGGCUUCCCAGCAUCCUUUGUGCCCUGCAUUGGUUCGGAAGGAGAGUGCAAGAAGCAGCCAGCUGUUGAAUAGAGGGAGAGCUUGAGAUUGGAAGUGAAAAAACUUUUGUACUACCCUAAUUUGUAACUCUCCUUCUCUCUUCACUUGCUCUCUAAAAGACUCUCUCAUGCUCCUUUUAAAAUGUAACCUGCAUUAUUAUAGUAAAAACUUGAGGAACUGCGUAGCCCAGCUUGCAUGUAUGGAAGGUUUGUGCAAUGUCCUAUGGACUUAGUACUGUCUUUAAUGAACAAAAGAAAUUCUGUACACUUUAUUGGGGAUGAGAGUGUGUAAAAAUAACGUCUUUCCUUUUUCUGCAGUUGUGUUGUGGUGGAGGACAUCAGCAUAGGCUUUGCAGCAGCCAAAGCUGGAAUGAAGUGUAUCGUAACCAAAAGUGGGUAACUUACUUUUACUAUAUGAACAAAAGAUUUACUAUAUAUGUUAAGUUUCCCGCACCUCCUCUUCCCUUCUCUUCUAAUUGAUCAUUGCAUUGUACUGUUGACUUACUAUAUAUGUUGUGUUUUCUAGUGGCAUCUAUAUUUCUUUUGGCAUGCUGUGGUGUUUUUCAGGAUGCUCAGUAAGUGCAAACUUGGUCCAGGUACUAAUGCACAAUAUAUUAAAUUUCUCGCUCUACCUUCAUUUUUUUCUAUAGUAUACCUUAAGUUAUACUCCUUAAUCCUUACCAAGCUAGCCAUCCUCUCUUUUUGGUACCAUGUGGCCAUUCUCCUUCACAUGUAUCUUUCUUAGUUCUGGCAACAUCAAUCCGAUAUGUUAAGUUUCUUUAGUUCAUCUGUAGGAUUGCUGAACCACUAGCUUAAUAACCCUUUCAUGGUAUUCAAAUCUUGUUAGAAACCUGGAACAGUAAUGCCAAGAUUUGUGAUCAUGUAAAACCAUUUUCAUAUAGUAUAAUAUAGAUUUACUAGAGGUCGCACUUGGUGCGAUGGCAAGUGCCUUCGCCCAUGAGCGGUAGGUCUCGGGUUCGAGACUUGGGAGCAGCCUCUCCAUAAAUGGGGGUAAGGCUAGCCGACAUUCACCUCUCCCAGACCCUGCGUAAAGCGGGAGCCUUGUGCACUGGGUACGACCUUUUUUAUAAUAUAGAUUUACUGCAAUUGCUUUCCGUCUGUUAUUAUUCUUACAAAGAUUUUGGGCUGAUAUUUUUAUGUUUACUUGUGAUUUUUUAACAUAUUUUUUAAUUGUAUGAACAGUGAUUUGAAUUCAGUUGACAAUUUAAUCGUUAUUUCAUAUCCCUUGGGUAACUUGAUGAACUGUCAAAUACCUGCAUUAUUGCAGAAAUUGGGUAAAGAACAUCAGUUGCAAUGCUCAGUUAGGGAUUUUAUAAUUUGGCGAAUUUAAGAAAUCACGGAAAGGUCUACAAACCCGAAAUGGAUAAACUUCACCUUAGGUGGUUUCGGGGAAGAGCUCAAUUCCAUUCCUGAUGUUCAAGGUUGAUCAUGGUAGCUUGAAUCGUUACAUUUUAAAGGGUGGCCAAAGCUCAAGUCUCUGUCUCACCAAAUUAAACACUUCACUUCGUUAACUGCUUUAUGUAUCAACCACUUGAGGGAGUGGAGGCUUAACCAGACUUGUUGGGUGACCUUACAUCCCUUAUAGAGCUGGGAUUACGAAUUAUAAGAAUUUGAUGAAUCAACCCUCUGCCGAAGUUAUGCAAUGCGUCCGCAGUUUACUGUCGCAGUGAGUUAAGCAAUGUAAGUUUUUCAAACUCCAUCUCCUUUGCUCUUCUAGUAAUUAAGUCGACUUACUAUAUAUGUUGUGUUUCCAAUAGGCAUAUAUAACUCUUUUAGCAUCCCUUGGCAUUUUUCAUGACACUCUUACUCAACUGGAACAAUGUAGUGCUGUAGGUGCAAACAGAGUCCAGGUACUGAUGCACAAGAUAUGUUUUUCCCGAAAAGUAGUGUUUGUUGGUUUAGAUAUUGUUUCGUCCUUGUUUCAUCGAUUGCUUGCUAAAUUCUCAUACUACCUUGUUCAGUAAUCUACUUGCCUUACAAUCCUUUUCAAGCUAGCAUGUAAUUUCUGAAUUGCCUUACAUUAUUGAGAAAUACAUUGAAAUCUAAGAGGAUUUGGUUGUUCAACCAUCAGUCGAUCCAUUUUAGUUACACAGGCCCAGACUAGUUCUCAUUCUGAGUCGCAUUGUUUUGCUCCAAAACUUUUUAAGUGGAAUUUUUCUUCUGGGCAGAUUGUUAUCUUAAAAUUAUCAGCUCUUCAAUUUUAAUCCUGAUCACAGCAGUAGUGGUAGAUUUAUCAUAUUUGUUGCAUCAAUCUCUUGCAGUUC